rnacentral:lncRNA from 1 species
UUUUAUUAUACGACCGCAAAAAUUUUAAUUUUUUGGUCGUAUAUUGCUAUCACGUUGGCGUCGUCGUCGUCGUCCUGCGUCGUCUUACGUCGUCUUGCGUCUUGCGUCGUCGUCGUCGUCGUCCGAAUACUUUUAGUUUUCGCACUCUAACUUUAGUAAAAGUGAAUAGAAAUCAAUGAAAUUUUAACACAAGGUUUAUGACCAC